GUGCUUGCUUGGGCAGCACAUACACUAAAAUUAGAACAAUACAGGGAAGAUCAGCAUGAUCCCUGUGAAAGAAUAACACACAAAUUUGUGAAGCAUUCCAUAUUUUU
ensembl:snRNA U6 U6 spliceosomal RNA